rnacentral:rRNA from 1 species
AUUGAACGCUGGCGGAAUGCUUUACACAUGCAAGUCGAGCGGCAGCGCGGGGCAACCUGGCGGCGAGCGGCGAACGGGUGAGUAAUACAUCGGAACGUGCCCAAUCGUGGGGGAUAACGUAGCGAAAGUUACGCUAAUACCGCAUACGAUCUACGGAUGAAAGCGGGGGAUCGCAAGACCUCGCGCGAAUGGAGCGGCCGAUGUCAGAUUAGGUAGUUGGUGGGGUAAAGGCUCACCAAGCCAACGAUCUGUAGCUGGUCUGAGAGGACGACCAGCCACACUGGAACUGAGACACGGUCCAGACUCCUACGGGAGGCAGCAGUGGGGAAUUUUGGACAAUGGGCGCAAGCCUGAUCCAGCCAUUCCGCGUGCAGGAUGAAGGCCUUCGGGUUGUAAACUAGCUUUUGUACGGUAACGAAAAGGUACCUGGUUAAUACCUGGGCUCAUGACGGUACCGUAAGAAUAAGACACCGGCUAACUACGUUGCCAGCAGCCGCGGUAAGGCUACG